UGGGGAAUCUUGCACAAUGCACGAAAGUGUGAUGCAGCAACGCCGCGUGCGGGAAGAAGGCCUUAGGGUUGUAAACCGCUUUCAGUGGGGACGAAGCCUUGCUGGUUAAGAGCUGGUUGGGGUGACGGUACCUGCAGAAGAAGCGCCGGCUAACUACGUGCCAGCAGCCGCGGUAAUACGUAGGGCGCGAGCGUUGUCCGGAAUCAUUGGGCGUAAAGCGCGUGUAGGCGGUUGAGUCAGUCUGCUGUGAAAGUCUAGGGCUUAACCCUGGAAUGUCGGUGGAUACUGCUCGGCUAGAGUACGGGAGGGGCGAGUGGAAUUCCUGGUGUAGCGGUGGAAUGCGCAGAUAUCAGGAGGAACACCUAUGGCGAAGGCAGCUCGCUGGAACGUUACUGACGCUGAGACGCGAAAGCGUGGGGAGCAAACAGG
rnacentral:rRNA from 1 species